rnacentral:ncRNA from 1 species
UUAUAUAAAUUUAUAGAUUAAAAAUUUAUUUAUUUUAAUAUAUAGUAUAUAAUUUUUUAAAAUUAAUGAAAUUUAAUUAAGUAAUAAUUAUAAUUUAUUAAUAAAAUUUUGUGCCAGCAAUUGCGGUUAAACAAUAAAUAAUUUAAAUAUUAGUAAAUUUGAAUAAAUAUGUAUUUAAAUAAUAUUAAUUAAUUUUAAUAGUGAAAUUUAAUAAAUUAAUAAUAAUUAUUUAUGAAAAUAUGAUUUUUGUUAAAUUAGAAUAUAAACUAGGAUUAGAUACCCUAUUAUUCUAAAAUUAAAAUUAAAAAAAUUUAAGUAAUUAAAGUUUAAUAUUAAGUAAAACUUAAAAAAAUUGGCAGUAUUUUAAUCAAUUUAGAGGAACUUGUAAAUUAAUUGAUAAUCCACAAAUAAUUUUACUUAAAUUAUAAAUUUGUAUAUCGUUGUUAAAAAAAUAUUUUUAAAAAAUUAUAAAUAUUUAAAGUUUUAGUUUAUAAAAUUAAAUCAAAUCAAGGUGCAGUCUAUAUUUAAGAUUUAUUAUGAGUUACAGUUUUUAAAAAUAAAUAGAAAAUAGUUUGAAAAAAUUAUUAGAAAUUGGAUUUAAAAGUAAUGAGAUUUAAAUUAAAUUCAUGAUUAAUGUUUUAAAAUAUGUACAUAUUGCCCGUCAUUUUCAAAAAAAUUUACUUUAUUGGAAUUUAUUAUUUUGAAACAAGUCGUAACAAAGUAGAUUUACUGGAAAGUGAUUCUAGAA